rnacentral:rRNA from 1 species
UACGGGGGGGGCAAGCGUUGUCCGGAUUUAUUGGGCGUAAAGAGCGUGUAGGCGGUUUGGUAGGUCCGCUGUGAAAACUCGAGGCUCAACCUCGAGACGCCGGUGGAAACCAUCAGGCUAGAGUCCGGAAGAGGAGAGUGGAAUUCCUGGUGUAGCGGUGAAAUGCGCAGAUAUCAGGAAGAACACCCGUGGCUAAGGCGGCUCUCUAGUACGGUACUGACGCUGAGACGCGAAAGCGUGGGGAGCGAACAGG